rnacentral:rRNA from 1 species
CUAGUGACCGAUAGUGAACCAGUACCGUGAGGGAAAGGUGAAAAGCACCCCGGAAGGGGUAGAGCCUGAUGCCGUGUGCUUACAAGUAGUAAGAUCAAGUAAAUGGGUGACGGGGUGCCGUUUGUAGAUGGCAAUGGUGAGUUACGAGUUGAUGCAAGGUGAUGCUGUAAAUGUGGAGCCGGAGCGAAAGCGAGUCUGAAUAGGGGGUUUAGUCUUUGGUCGUAGACCCGAACCCUGGGGUUCUCCCCUUGGUCAGUUUGAAGUUCAGGUAAAACGGAAUGGGGGACCGAACCGACUUACGUUGAAA